rnacentral:piRNA from 1 species
GAGCUGACUGUAAAUUAUGCAGAGAGAGC